rnacentral:lncRNA from 1 species
UGUGAUAGUGUAUGUGAUUGUGUGAUAUGCCAUAAAAAUCUUACCACAUACCUUGAGUGUUCAAAUUUGAUACAAAGAAACACUGCACAUAAAACAGGGGGAGCACAUCUUGUGAUAACUAAUAGAAAUGACCUGGACAGGGGGAGCACAACUUGAAUAUCCUUGAGUAAAAUGAAUGCUGAAUUCCACUAUAAAUUGAGCUUUAAGGAUAAUUUGUCCCCUUCAUGUUGAUGACAAAAAGGGGGAGUAGAUAUGUAUAUGGAAUGCAAAAUUUUUAAUCAUACUCCAAAGUUGAUUUUAAGAUAAUUGCCCUUCUGGAAAAGAAAGGAGGAGUCAAAAAAGAAUCUAGCUUUCAAUUAUCUUCAGCAUCAAUAUUUCAUUUUAACUUGAUUCAAAUUCAGUUCAUAUGCCAAAAUCAUUUAAGAACUAUAAAGAUCAAUUUUAUGCACAAGGAAAGAACUGAAAAUUGAAUAUUUUGAGUGAUGCACGUUGUAUCUAGUUCUAAUCAAAACAUUACACUUGUACAUCCGAUCAAAUACUGUGUAUAUGUUUAAAUUUCAAAUUUUGCAUAUACUCAGUGUUUUGUCAUCAUCAAAAAGGGGGAGAUUGUUGACCCCCUAAUGGAUUUUGAUGAAUACAAAACACUAGAGCAUAAUUCCAUUAUAUCUUAA